GAUGAACGCUGGCGGCGUGCUUAACACAUGCAAGUCGAACGGAAAGGCCCAAGCUUGCUUGGGUACUCGAGUGGCGAACGGGUGAGUAACACGUGGGUGAUCUGCCCUGCACUUCGGGAUAAGCCUGGGAAACUGGGUCUAAUACCGGAUAGGACCACAUUUUGGAUGGUGUGGUGGAAAGUUUUUCGGUGUGGGAUGAGCUCGCGGCCUAUCAGCUUGUUGGUGGGGUAAUGGCCUACCAAGGCGUCGACGGGUAGCCGGCCUGAGAGGGUGUACGGCCACAUUGGGACUGAGAUACGGCCCAGACUCCUACGGGAGGCAGCAGUGGGGAAUAUUGCACAAUGGGCGCAAGCCUGAUGCAGCGACGCCGCGUGGGGGAUGACGGUCUUCGGGUUGUAAACUCCUUUCGCUAGGGACGAAGCGUUAUGUGACGGUACCUGGAGAAGAAGCACCGGCUAACUACGUG
rnacentral:rRNA from 1 species